rnacentral:piRNA from 1 species
UAUCCUCUUAGGUAGAACUGGGUUCAC